CGGCAACAGCUCAAAUUUGAAAUCUGGCUCUUUCAGGGUCCGAGUUGUAAUUUGUAGAGGAUGUUUCGGGCAAGGCUUCGGUUUAAAUCCCUUGGAACAGGGUGUCACAGAGGGUGAGAGUCCCGUCUUGAACCGUCUGCCGCGUCCAUGUGAAGCUCCUUCGACGAGUCGAGUUGUUUGGGAAUGCAGCUCAAAAUGGGAGGUAUAUUUCUUCUAAAGCUAAAUAUUGGCCAGAGACCGAUAGCGCACAAGUAGAGUGAUCGAAAGAUGAAAAGCACUUUGAAAAGAGAGUUAAACAGUAUGUGAAAUUGUUGAAAGGGAAGCGCUUGUAACCAGACUUGAGUUGGGCGGUUCUACCGCGGUUCGCCGUGGCCUAUUCCGUCCGAUCCAGGCCAGCAUCGGUUCGGGUGGUCAGUUAAAGACCUCGGGAAUGUAUCUACCCUUCGGGGUCGACUUAUAGCCCGGGGUGCAAUGUGACCUACCUGGACCGAGGAACGCGCAU
rnacentral:rRNA from 1 species